UUCGAAGAAAAAGUAUUCCAGGAAUGGUAUAAGAAAUAUUGUACGGUUCUCAUAAGCUCGAUUCCAAGUAAAAUAUUUUGAGAAAAAGUAAACUAGCAUCAUGCUAGAAAACUCUACAUGUACAAGCCAAAAGUUCCAAUAGAAAACUUAUGGCUUAAAUUCUGAUAUUCUAGGAUUUUACGAGGACGCGGAACUCGAUCCUCAAUCCAAUAUCUGAACUCCACUCUUGGUUUUGAGGCUUGAGAAGUUGGAUGCUGUUUUUAUUUGGUUAUACGUGUGUUUGGACAAUGUGGUUUUUAAGAAUUGUAAAUUUCAGUUUGUAACGUGUAAUCCUGCUUGCGUACUUUCGCCUUGUGUUACCACUUGAAGCUGGAAAAUGUGUGGCUCUCGUGGUGACCUAUGGCUGGGGUAUUUUUAUGUUUCCGCUGUUUGGGUUUUUGUACGUUAGGAUUGUACGACUUUGUUCUUGUAAAGCGCGUGAACGAUAGUUUUAAGAGCCGUCGAAGGGCUGACUUAUGUCACUGCUAUCCCUGAAGUUACUGUGGAGUUAUAAAGUUUUACUUGGAAG